CCUACGGGAGGCUGCAGUGAGGAAUAUUGGUCAAUGGACGAGAGUCUGAACCAGCCACGUAGCGUGAAGGAUGACUGCCCUAUGGUUUGUAAACUCCUUUUAUAUGGAAAUAAAAAGUUCCACGUGUGGAGUUUUGUAUGUCCCAUAUGAAUUAGGAUCGGCUAACUCCGUGCCAGCAGCCGCGGUAAUACGGAGGAUCCGAGGGUUAUCCGGAUUUAUUGGGUUGAAUGGGCGCGUAGGUGGAUUGUUAAGUCAGUUGUGAAAGUUUGCGGCUCAACCGUAAAAUUGCAGUUGAAACUGGCAGUCUUGAGUACAGUAGAGGUGGGCGGAAUUCGGAGUGUAGCGGUGAAAUGCGUAGAUAUCACGAAGAACUCCAAUGGCGAAGGCAGUUCACUGGACUGCAACUGACACUGAGGCUCGAAAGUGUGGGGAGCAAACAGGAUUAGAUACCCUAGUAGUC
rnacentral:rRNA from 1 species